rnacentral:rRNA from 1 species
UACGAAGGGGGCUAGCGUUGUUCGGAAUUACUGGGCGUAAAGCGCGCGUAGGCGGUGAUCUUUGUCAGGGGUGAAAUCCCGGGGCUCAACCCCGGAACUGCCUUUGAUACUGGGUAUCUCGAGUCCGAGAGAGGUGAGUGGAAUUCCGAGUGUAGAGGUGAAAUUCGUAGAUAUUCGGAGGAACACCAGUGGCGAAGGCGGCUCACUGGCUCGGUACUGACGCUGAGGUGCGAAAGCGUGGGGAGCAAACAGG